UAUCUCUGUAGAGUCUGCAUAUCAAUAAGCGGAGGAAAAGAAACUAACUAGGAUUCCCUCAGUAACGGCGAGUGAAGCGGGAAGAGCUCAAAUUUGAAAUCUUAAAGGUUUUCCCUUGACGAAUUGUAGUUUAAAGAAGUGUUUUCUGUUGGAGUUUCGGUAAAAGUUCUUUGGAAUAGGACAUCAUAGAGGGUGAGAAUCCCGUAUUUGACCAUUACUUUCCAGCUGUGUGAUACACUUUCAAAGAGUCGGAUUGUUUGGGAAUGCAGUCCAAAAUGGGUGGUAAAUUUCAUCUAAAGCUAAAUAUUGGCGAGAGACCGAUAGCGAACAAGUACCGUGAGGGAAAGAUGAAAAGAACUUUGAAAAGAGAGUUAAACAGUACGUGAAAUUGUCAAAAGGGAAGCGUUUGACACCAGUGUUGUUUAGUUGAAAAUCAAUUCAUGAUGUUUUGAUGCUAAGUAUUAUUAGACUUCAUCAGCUUGCUGCUUUCGUUCUCUAGUAUUAGUGAAUGCACUUUUCAGUGGAACAAGUCAACAUCAAUUUCUUUUGUUGUAAAAGGGUAAGAGGAAGGUGGCUUGCGGCUUCGGCUCGAAGUGUUUAUAGCCUUUUAUCUCUGCAGUCGGAGAGAUUGAGGUCUGCAGCGUAGACUCCUUCGGGGUUAGAUACAGUUGGUGCUAAGUUAUAGCCUUUCAUAGACAACUUGUUGACUAUGAUCAGUCAUGUAGCUUACUCGCUGGAUGCUAUUUUACCUACGCUUAGGAUGUUGAGUCAUCACACAUCUCU
rnacentral:rRNA from 1 species